GAAGGCAGGAGGAUUUCUAAGGUAGAAUAGUUUGUAAAAUUAGGAUGCUAGAUUCUGCGCCAGCGACUGUUACCUGUUGAUUCUAAACUUAGAUUGUGUGGUGUUUUCCUUCACACGGUGACUCAACUGGGUUCCAGAGAAAGAUACCCCUGGUCUCCUGACCCAGACUGCGGCUGCUGCUCUGACACCAGUGGAUCUGUGACUCUGUAAUCCCUUCAUUGACGCUGUUAGGAAUGACAAAAAGAAACAAGCAGACAAAACCUGAUCCUUUAAAUACUUCAAAAGGAAAAUUCUCUUUAAAAAAAACCCUUUCUGGAAUUCAAGUUUCCUUCAAAUCAUUCAUGGCAAAGGACUAAUUCCACAGACAGUUUGAUCAGUCCAGCCUAUUUAAUCAGGAAUAAGACCCAGGGCAGGGGAUGGCCGACUAUGGCCGUGUGUUGCUUUCACAGAUGCUUUAGCCUGCUUUGAGGGGCCUGUGUGAUUCCACCUGUGGCAUCUGCCUAUCUGUAGGACAUUGGCUCUUACUUCUCCACCACACACUCAUGGAUCCUGCAUAUUUGUAGCAACUGUUAGGAUCUUUGAUAUCUAAACUGCCAUCUUCCACACUUCAUCAUCCAGCAUGUCCAGAAGCAGCCCCCACCUCCAUCCUCACCCUCAGUGAAGGUCAGUUAGAACCCGCUGGGAAAACUUGAGGAGAAACAGAGACCGUUCCCUCUUGAGACAGAUUCUAGCAGCUAUGGUUCCCACCAAAGGAAAAAGAGCAACAGGUACACUGAGGUGAAACCUGCUGGAUUUUAAUAGAAGUCACAAAGGACAUUCAAGCUCUGUGAGCACAAGGAACCAGGCUAAAUUCAUGGGUCAUGGUUGUCACUGGUGCUUGCAUAGUCCUUGGUUUUUGUUUUCUUUUUUUUUUUUUUUUUUUUUUUGGUUCUUUUUUUCGGAGCUGGGGACCGAACCCAGGGCCUUGCGCUUCCUAGGCAAGCGCUCUACCACUGAGCUAAAUCCCCAGCCCCGGUUUUUGUUUUCUUAAGAAGUCAAGUGGGACCCUUGGGCAGUAGCAGGAAGUCAAGCCUGACCUUGGGCAGUAGCAGCAAAUCAAGCAGGACCCUUGGGCUGUAGCAGACACUCCCAUCGCCCACAUGAGUACUAGAGGGUAGAGUACACCCUGUAAGCUGUCUGUCUCUCUCAGGUGGAUUUUGGAACAUUUUUUAUUGCCUGGGUUUCACCAUCUUGACUGAUGGCUUCUAGCUCUAUUAUAAAGACUGUCGUUUUAUCCUGAUCAUUGUGUUGCAGUUGGUUGGUGUGUCCCAACCAGUCUUAAAUGCUUCUUUGCCAUCAUAGUCCUAUCAGCGUUUCAACAACAACUGUUGUCACAACAGGAGGAGACGGGAAGAUGAGUACUGGAUCAACACAGGCUUCAGGAAGGACUCUAUUCCCGCCCUAUUAAUUGCUAGAUCUAAGCUUUUUGUUUUUGUUUGUUUUGUUUUUGUUUGGGAGACAAAGGCAGAAGAACUGUGACAUCCAGACCAGCCUGGGGCUACAUAGAAAGAUAUUAUAUUAAAACAACAUCAACAAAACCCACAGAAGCAUAACUUUAAAAAAUCAAUAAAGUAGAAAAAUAUGUA